GGCUUUCCUGUGUUGCAUACCUAUUGCGAGGGUAUUCGGUUGGCUAAAACGGUCUCAUCUCCGCCUUGUGCUAGCGCUCCUUGCGGGGCGUCUGGCGCGGGGCGGAUCUCAAGGYGUCCGUCGUGUUUCGCGCCGCAUUCACCCGUAUGGGUGUUUGGGUAGGCGACCCACGACGUGCCGCUCGUUGGCUCGGGUACGGAACAUYGGGUGGGUACGAGGCAUUGGCCUCCGAUCACCACACGAAUGCGUUCUACGCUUUAUGCGAACGACGGCCGCACUCGRCGUUCGGCGGAGCACUCGCUGCUCGAUCGAAUCCGAGUCGGCGUCGGUGAGGGAUGCUACC
rnacentral:misc_RNA from 1 species